GGUCCAAUUGCGGAGUGGCCCGCACCUGAAUCUCAUAGGAAAUCGUGAACUUUCCGUGCAGGAGACGCCCGUUCGACUCGGGCUUGGACCG